rnacentral:rRNA from 1 species
CCUACGGGAGGCAGCAGUGGGGAAUCUUGCGCAAUGGGCGAAAGCCUGACGCAGCCAUGCCGCGUGAAUGAUGAAGGUCUUAGGAUUGUAAAAUUCUUUCACCGGGGACGAUAAUGACGGUACCCGGAGAAGAAGCCCCGGCUAACUUCGUGCCAGCAGCCGCGGUAAUACGAAGGGGGCUAGCGUUGCUCGGAAUUACUGGGCGUAAAGGGAGCGUAGGCGGAUAGUUUAGUCAGAGGUGAAAGCCUAGGGCUCAACCUUGGAAUUGCCUUUGAUACUGGCUAUCUUGAGUAUGGGAGAGGUAUGCGGAACUCCGAGUGUAGAGGUGAAAUUCGUAGAUAUUCGGAAGAACACCAGUGGCGAAGGCGGCAUACUGGCCCAUUACUGACGCUGAGGCUCGAAAGCGUGGGGAGCAAACAGGAUUAGAUACCCUGGUAGUCCACGCUGUAAACGAUGAGUGCUAGUUGUCGGCAUGCAUGCAUGUUCGGUUGGUACGCGACGCGUAACCGACUAUUAAGACGACCGUCCGCCGUGGGGAGGGUACGGGUCGGCGAAGUAAGUUAAAACGUUAAAAGGUUAAAGUUAGUUACGGCGUGAGGACGUUGCCGACGGACGACGACGAGGGGAGGAGG